rnacentral:lncRNA from 1 species
UUUUUUUUUUUUUUUUUUUAAUUUUUGUUAUCGUGAUGGUUAAAGGAACCUAGGUGUUUGUCUUAGACCCAUUUUAGGGCUUCUCCCAUGCCAGGGUAGGUGAUAAAGCAGGAGGCAGGAGCCUUGUAUUCCCCUUAAAGAUGUGAUAUUCCUCUAACAUACUGAGUGUUUUGUUCUUUUUGGACCCAAUACCCAAAACCAGCUUGUAUUGGACUCAGGAGAGCAGAGUGUCAAAGUUUUAGGAAUUUUGCCAGAUGGUUGUUGAAACACUGCCAUGAUUAAAAAUGAAAUUAUACAAUUUAUUACAUUUAAUUGUAUAAAUUAAAUAAAUAAUAUUAAAAAUUAAAUAAUUAAAUUAAUUAUAUUAAAAAUAAAGGUAAUAAAUACUUAAACCUCAUCACUUCCUAAUUAUUUCAUUUUGCAUACCCUCACCUAUGCCCUUGAAGCUAUUUAUGCCUAGUAGAUCUCUAUGUGGGGAUAUCGCAUGUGGGGGGUCAUGUCCUCCCAACUCCAUGUUCAAUGACAUCACACUGGUAGCUAGGAUUCAGCCCUGGUGGGUAGUAUUUACACCGGAGAAUUCAGCAAACACAACAGAUCAGGGCUUCAUUGAUUGCCCUUUCCCUGCCAAACCAGAGGUUGAGCACUUACCAUCAGCAUACGGCUAGUUUGCCUCCCACUGGGCUCAGGAGCCAGGCCUCCAGUCAGCUAGGACUGCUGACAUCCGACUUCAUGGAUGCGGGAGGACAGCUGCAGAACCUCCCCGAAGCUCUGCCCAUGCCUUCCCAAAGCCAUUUUCCCUAGAUAACUUCUGACAUUUUCAAGUCAUUCUUGCUGUGUCCCCACCACCACCACAGAGACUCACGUGCCGCCCACUGGGGGCUCUCUCGCUUCUCUGUCUGUCCCUCUCUCAUAGCCAACACAAUCUGUUUGUGGUGAAUUCUGUUAACUCCGAUACAAUUCCAGGGAAUUUGAGAGUCUAUAGCCUGGGGCUUAGGGGUAUCUGACGUAUGAGAGGAGAGAAGCAGAAAAUGGAAUAUUUGGGGAAAAAAGGUUACUGUGCAUACAAUCUCCUAUCAUUUGGCCCCACAGGUUGACUUCAGAACUGGGAGAUGAGUGAUUCUCCUCAGUUCUCCACUAUGGAUAUUUUUUUUUUUUGACAGAUGCAUACUGGAACUGGAAUUUUUAUAAGUAAACCUAUAGCUUUGACCUGUGAUUCUCAAGAUACUCAGCUUUCCCCCCCCCCCUCCCGCGCCGCCCGCCAGGGUGAAUGGGGUCAAAAGUAUUAUCCUUAAAAGAAUAUAAUGUCUUGCACUCUACAGAGCCCAUCACAUUGAUUAUUAUAUGAAGCUUUUAGAAUAACAUUGAGAUGGUAGCAACACACACAUUAUUAUUCUCAUUAUGAACAAAAGAGGCCCAAGAGACCUAACUUAGCAUUGCCCACCUAGCUAGUUUGCGAAAUGGCUGGGAUUAGGUCCCACAGUGCCAAGUGGAUUUGAAAAUGCCAUACCUUACAAAGAUCAGAAACAUAACAUGCGAUUAUUUUAACCUGAAGUCAACCACGUUGACCCAUGUGUUAUUCUCUCUUCCUCCUCCAAGGACUCUCAUGUCAGCUUUUCACCUGAUUCCAUGGCAAUAAGCUAUUUAGAGAUUCAUCUUGGCCAUGCAAACCAUUUAUUUACUAGAAAGUGAGAUUAGGGGUUGACCUUCAGUGUCCUUAACAGAUGACACCAGAGUACAAAGAAGAAGACCACAAGGCCAGGGCACUGCAAGGCCACGCAAUCAGGAUGGGAAGCAUGAAGUGGUAAAACUGCCCUACUUGUAAAGCAGAGUAUAGGUUCUCAAGGGGUGAACCUACAUACCAUAAACAUCUAAACAAUUUUUGUGAAACUGUGGUUUAUUAAUUCCUGGCUAAAAGAUUGAAUGACAUUAAGCCUUACUAAUUUGCUGGCCAACUGGGCAGAGACUGUGUCCAGGGAAGGGAGAGAGGCCAGUUUUUGCAAAACAGCUGUUUACCCAGUCCUUGGGCCAGACCCAAAGAAUGGGGAAAAGCAACUCCUUAUUAUAUCCUUGUAAGUGAGAGGUUUUGUUUUACAAACUGUAACUGGAAAAAGUUGUACCAAACUGUUAAUAGUGGUUUUUCAAGGAAAAAUGAAGACUUUUUAAAAAUUUCCCACUAUCAACAUACAGUUUUUAGCAGAUAAUCACCUUUUCUCAGUCUUCCUUAUACUUUUAUUUUUUUCCUUAUACUUUUAAAAGCACAAUAUAACACCUUAAAUUUAUAAAGCAAGUUGGCCUUUGCAAGGCAUUUUGGCCAUUACUUCAAUUGAGCCAUAUGAACAUCCUGUAUCAGAAUUUUAUCCUUAAAGAAACCAAACCAAAACCUCCCCAAAGACAAAAAAAAAAAAAAA